GGAUGACAUUAUUUUGAUUUGUCAUUAUUUUGACUUGUACUUAACCUAAGUUUUGAUCUUUCACUUUUGUUAAUUAUUUUGGGUGUAAAUUGUCAAAUUGUGAUUUUUUUCUGUCAGAAUCGAAUGACAGUGAUGCACCUUUGCAAAUAUAAUGUCUAAUAAUAGGUUUAGGACUAUUAGUUAAUUAUUUAAUACUAGUUUUGUAAUAAAUAUUCAUAAACAAAGAUUUAUACGUGAUUUAAAGCGUUUUUCUAAGAAAAUGUACUCAUUUUGCUGAAUAAAUUCUCAGGGAAUUGUGUAAACAAUUUAAUUUUUCUCAUUUAGACGCAGAAUUUAAUAUUGAAUCGAUUAGUAAAAGAAUUUUUAUUGUAACCUACUGAAUUCAAAAGUUAUUAAUAAAAUAAAUUAAAAUUAACUGGAAAUUAACAAAAUUGCAGUUUUUACCAACAAAUUCGAAAAUCAAACGAGUUAUAUAUUAUUGUUUCUUCUCUACUUUUAAAUAUUACAUAGGCAAUCCAUGCUUUACUAGAUCAGCUACCCCCUCUACUUUUCGCGGGUUGCGCGCAGUACAUAAUCGUCCAGCAGUCCGUUUAAAGCUAUUUAGCUUCCCCCUUUUCUUUCUCCGCGUCUGCUAGUGGCUAAUAGGCAAUACCCACGCAUAUUGACAAACUCGACAUGUUUAUCCAUCAAUCAAAACAAUAAUAACAAUUUAUUUACAUCUUCCAAUAAUAAAUUCACCUACUUUAUAAUUAAUCACUAUAUCCACACGCAAUACAAUUCCUUCAAAUAAAUUUAUCAGUGAAUAACAACUUUACUCCUUCAAAUUAGCGGCAAUAACUCACAAUGACCCAAAAUUGGUCUCUAAACAUAUUAGUUAAUCUAAUUAUGUCACAAUAUUUCAACAAUUCAAUCUGUAUAAUAUAUACUUUUGAUGACAACAAAGAACCUGUCCAUUUAUCAACAAUUCCUGCUAUUAUGAUCGAUAUUGACCAUUUUGACUUGGAUCCAGACAGAAUCUGCCGAAAUUUUCUCAUUCACUGCACAGUGGCUUCUUCUGGUUUGAUGUUAGUUGAAAUAUUCAUUAAAUUGAACACUGAUGGAAUGUACAACAACAGAAAAUACGUUAUCAUCAUAGAUGACGAAGAAGUAUUCAAUGAUUUCUUCUUCAAUGCAAAUUUAAAUUUCAUCAGGGACGUAUUAAUCAUUUACAUAAAAAAUACUAAAGAUAAACAAGAUAAACAACAAGAAAUAUUGUUAUAUACACAUAAAUAUGUCGGUGUAGAAGGUAACAAUGAUCCAAUACUAUUAGACAUUUGGUUUGCAAAAAUCAAAGUUUUAAAUACAAACAUAACCUAUUUCCUGAUAAAGUCACCGACCAACAAGGAAGAGAACUACGUGUCCCUUGCAUGUAUCGAUUACCAUAUUCAAAUUGUGAUUUAAUUAACGGAAUGGGAAAUGAACACAAUGCAGUCUUAAAAUACGUCCAGAGAUUUAAUUUCACGCUAAAUAUUUAUGACAAUAUGACAGAAGAGAAUUUUGGUAAUAUAUACCUAAACGGAACCGCGGAUGGUAUAAUCGCUGGGUUAUUAAACGAAGAUGACAGCUAUUGUGACUUAAUUUAUGGUGGUACACCUCGAGAUGAUUAUAUGGAUGUAAUCAGAGUGUAAUCUAUACUUAUGAAGUUUCCGUACCAUUACCAAAGUAAAAUCAAAUAUUUUUAUCAAAAACUUUUAAAUUUUUUAAUUUUUAGGUUAAAAUAUGGUUGGUUCAUGUACGCGCACGUGUUUAACCUAUUUUCAUGGCUUCUACUCCUUGGGAUCUAUUUUUCAGCGAGAUUUUUAGUGUUUUUCCAUAAAAAACUCAAUAUUUUGAAAACCAAUCAGAAAAGCAUACUUCCCACAUAACAAACAUAACCAUGUAUGGAUUCUUCAUAAAUCAACCCACUGCAUUGACCAAGGACAUAAAAACCAGCGCGUUUUUAAAAUACAUCGUAAUUUUGCUACUUUUUUCAAGUGUUUUACUUGUUACAGCUUACAAUUCACGAUUAUCCAGUGUUAUGGUCGCACCAGAGUACGAAAAUAAUAUCAAAACGCUUGAAGAACUCGCUGAUAGUGAUUUACAGAUAUUAUUCUUUGAUGAAUACUAUAAUCUCUUACGUAGAGACACAAGAACAGUUUAUAAAAAAUUAUAUCAAAAAAUUUAUCUGAUUCCGAAUAAUACUGAUUUUGAAUUGUCGGAAAAGCUACUUUCUAGUGGAAAAUAUGCGGUGGCAAGAUAUAGAAGAUCAACAGGGGAAUAUUUUGAGUAUUUAGAACAUUUAUAUCAAAUGUACAAGAAGUUUAAACCGAUUACACCUGAGUUAUUCUCGGAUAAUUAUUAUAUUCUCUUGAAAGAAAACUCAAUGCACACUGUUGAGUUGGAUAAAUUGGUUAAUACUGCAUUUGAGGCUGGUUUGAUGAAGUUUUGGGAAGAAGACGCGUUAAGAGCAUGGGAAAAUAUUACUUUUCAACAACAAAUACAAGAUUAUUCAUUCGACAAAGUAACUGUUGACUUGAACAUGAACCAUUUAAAAGGAUGUUUUGCUUUUUGGAUGAUCGGAUUGAUUAUUGCAAGUGUUGUAUUCAUAAAAGAAGUUUACAUGGCAAAAACCCACAGAAAAUAUCAUUCUAAAACUCCUAAAAUUGAAUUUACUCUUUAAAAUUAAUAAAAAUCUUUAAAAAAUUUAA